rnacentral:rRNA from 1 species
UAAUACGUAGGGUGCGAGCGUUAAUCGGAAUUACUGGGCGUAAAGUGUGCGCAGGCGGCGCCGCAAGUCGAGUGUGAAAGCCCCGGGCUUAACUUGGGAAUUGCGCUCGAAACUAUGGUGCUGGAGUGUGGCAGAGGAAGGUGGAAUUCCACGUGUAGCGGUGAAAUGCGUAGAGAUGUGGAGGAACACCGAUGGCGAAGGCAGCCUUCUGGGCCAACACUGACGCUCAUGCACGAAAGCGUGGGGAGCAAACAGGAUUAGAUACCCUGGUAGUCCACGCCCUAAACGAUGAUGACUAGUUGUUGGGGGUUUGACACUCUCAGUAACGAAGCUAACGCGUGAAGUCGACCGCCUGGGGAGUACGGCCGCAAGGUUA